UGUAUUUGCAUCACCCAUCAAUUUUCAAUGUUCUGGCUGCAAAUGGGUGAUUUUUUUUUCACAUACAAAUUUCUUUUGCAUCUUUAGUAAUUACAGAGACCUGAGAUUUUCUCACAUAUUGGGACUCUAUGUAGCCAGAAUGGGGACAGACAUGGGACUGAAUGUGUGAGAUACUCCCAUAUAUUGUCAUACCAGCUGUGAGAGCCAUGUGCUACCUGAAUGUGAAGGGUGUUCUUGCCAUGUGGAUAACAGAGUUGGUAGAAUCUGCACCCAUUCCAACCUUCAUCUUUUUUCAGCAUGACGCAGGACAAAGAGUGGGGACUUCAUAGUCGGACAGUGCUUGACUUAGCACAGUGCUUGACUUAGCACAGUGCUUGACUUAGCACUGUGGCUACACAAUUUAAUGUGUAAAACCUGGCUACUUUUGAGUGUUUUUAUGAGAUGUAAUAAAAAAAUACAGUGGAUUCUGCUGAUGUGUGCAAUCCAGUGAGAAAACAGGACAUGAAGCCCACCACAACGUGUGCAACUAAAGACCCUCAUGACAGAGGACUUGGCAAGAAUGAUGGGG